CUAUACAUGCAGUCGUACGCUCUGGGCCUCUGAGUGAUGGUGAUUGCGCCUGAAUGACAAUAGAUCCCUUGUGAGUGGCGGACGGGUGAGUAAUACGUAGUGGGCCUGUACCUCUCGGGGGAUAACAUUUGGAAACAAAUGAUGCUACCGCGUACAACAAUAGCCACCUGGCUUUUGUUUGAUAGAUGACUUUGGCUAUAACUCUAGGAUGGACCUGCGGUGUGCUAUCUAGUUGGUAAGGUGACGGCUUACCACGGCGAUGAUAUGCAGCCCAGUUGAGAGACUGAUCGGCCACAAUGGAACUGAGACACGGUCCAUACUCCUACAGGAGGCGCCACUAUGGAAUCUUCCACAAUGGGCGCAAGCCUGAUGGAGCAACACCGCGUGUGUGAAAAAAGGUUUCGGCUCUCAAAACUCUGUUGUUGGAGAAAAAAGUGAGUUGAGUAACUGUUCACGCAGUGACGGUAUCCAACCACAAAGUCACGGCUAACUACGUGCCACCAGCCGCGGUAAUACAUAUGUGUUCCGCGUUAUCCGGAUUUAUUGGGCGUAAAGCGAGCGCACACGGUUGCUUAAGUCUGAUGUGAAAGCCUUCUCGCUUAACCGAAGAAUGCAUCUUGAGACCGGGCGACUUGUGUGUGCAAUAGAGACAGUGUGAACUCUCCGUGUAUCGCGUGUGAAUGCGUAUAUAUAUGUGAAGAAACCAGUGUGCGAAAGCGCGCUGUCUCUGUCUGCGACUGACACUGACGCUCUCAAACGUGUGGUAUCGAACACGAUUAUAUAUACCUGUGUAGUCUACGCCGUAUACGAUGAGUGCUAUGUGUGUUGAGAGUGUUCUCCCCCUUUCAAUGACCCACCUCACGCAAUAUAACACACUCCCUCCUGGAGAACAACAACAACGCUGUGACUCUCAUGUAAAUGACACGGAUCCCCCACAAACCCU
rnacentral:rRNA from 1 species